rnacentral:RNase_P_RNA from 1 species
CCGAGAGGGCGGAGGUUCGCUCCCGGCUCCGACCGGGGGAGGAAAGUCCGAACUCCACAGGGCACGAUGCCGCAUAACCCGCACCUCGAGUGCGGGAUGCAUGCGGGCGGUUGCAUCGCGAGAUGCACCGACGGAUAGCGCCACAGAAAACAAACCGCCGGUUGCCAAGCGCAACCGGCAAGGGUGAAAAGGUGGGGUAAGAGCCCACCGCUCCAAGCGCAAGCGAGGAGGCACGGCAAGCCCCAUCGGGAGCAAGGCCAAAUAGGGGACCAAUGGCGUGGCCCGCGCCGUGUGCCGGAUCACACCGACCGAGGUCCCGGGUAGGGCCGCAAAGACAAAUGAACCUCUCCGUCGGCGCCAUCGGCGCCGGCGCAGACAGAAUUCGGCUUACAGCCUUCUCGGAGCG